GUGAGGAAUAUUGCGCAAUGGAGGCAACUCUGACGCAGCCAUGCCGCGUGCAGGAAGAAGGCGCUACGCGUUGUAAACUGCUUUUAACCGGGAAGAAACCCCAGGACGUGUCCUGGGUUGACGGUACCGGAGGAAUAAGCACCGGCUAACUUCGUGCCAGCAGCCGCGGUAAUACGAAGGGUGCAAGCGUUAUCCGGAUUCAUUGGGUUUAAAGGGUGCGUAGGCGGAGCGUUAAGUCAGUGGUGAAAUCCUGCAGCUUAACUGUAGACUUGCCAUUGAUACUGGCGCUCUUGAGUGCGCUUGAAGUGGGCGGAAUGUGCCGUGUAGCGGUGAAAUGUUUAGAUAUGGCACAGAACACCAAUUGCGAAGGCAGCUCACUAAGGCGAUACUGACGCUGAGGCACGAAAGCGUGGGGAUCGAACAGGAUUAGAAACCCCGGUAGUCC
rnacentral:rRNA from 1 species